UAAGUAGGUAGUGAAAGCGUUCGGCUCAACCGAAUAAACAUUAUCUAAACUGCAGAGCUAGAGGGCGAGAGAGGUUACUAGAAUUCCUUGUGUAGGAGUGAAAUCCGUAGAUAUAAGGAGGAAUACCGAUGGCGUAGGCAGGUAACUGGCUCGUCCCUGACACUAAGGCACGAAAGCGUGGGGAGCGACCGGGAUUAGAUACCCCGUUAGUCCACGCCGUAAACGAUGGAUGCUA
rnacentral:rRNA from 1 species